GGGGAAUAUUGCACAAUGGGCGAAAGCCUGAUGCAGCAACGCCGCGUGAGCGAAGAAGGCCUUUGGGUCGUAAAGCUCUGUCGGGUAGGAAGAUAAUGACGGUACUACCCGAGGAAGCCCCGGCUAACUACGUGCCAGCAGCCGCGGUAAUACGUAGGGGGCGAGCGUUAUCCGGAAUUACUGGGCGUAAAGAGUGCGUAGGUGGCUGCUUAAGCGUGAGGUGAAAGGCAAUGGCUUAACCAUUGUGAGCCUCGCGAACUGGGUGGCUUGAGUGCAGGAGAGGAAAGCGGAAUUCCUAGUGUAGCGGUGAAAUGCGUAGAUAUUAGGAGGAACACCAGUGGCGAAGGCGGCUUUCUGGACUGCAACUGACACUGAGGCACGAAAGCGUGGGGAGCAAAC
rnacentral:rRNA from 1 species